rnacentral:tRNA from 1 species
GGUCCGUUGGCCCAAUGGUAAGGCGUCUGACUACGACUUCCAACAGUUAUCAGGAGAUUCUGGGUUCGACCCCCAGGCGGACCU